rnacentral:rRNA from 2 species
CCCUACUGCUAUCGGGGUGGGACUAAGACAUGCGAGUCGAGCGUCUCCAGCUAUGGUGAGACGCGGCAGACGGCUCAGUAACACGUGGCUAACCUACCCUCAGGACAGGGACAAACCCGGGAAACUGGGGCUAAUACCCGAUAGGCGAGGGCGCCUGGAAUGGUUCUUCACCCAAAGGGCUUUGGAAGCAUGCUUUUCAAAGUCGCCUGGGGAUGGGGCCGCGUCCGAUCAGGUUGUUGGUGAGGUAACGGCUCACCAAGCCUAUAACCGGUACGGGCCGUGAGAGCGGUAGCCCGGAGAUGGGCACUGAGACAAGGGCCCAGGCCCUACGGGGCGCAGCAGUCGCGAAAACUCCGCAAUGCACGAAAGUGUGACGGGGCUACCCCGAGUGCCGUCCGCUGAGGAUGGCUUUUCCUCGGUGUAACUAGCCGGGGGAAUAAGGAGAGGGCAAGACUGGUGUCAGCCGCCGCGGUAAUACCAGCUCUCCGAGUGGUAGGGAUGAUUAUUGGGCUUAAAGCGUCCGUAGCCGGCUUAGCAAGUCUCCUGUUAAAUUCAGCGACCUAAUCGUUGAGCCGCGGGAGAUACUACUAGGCUAGGAGGCGGGAGAGGCCGACGGUACUUCCGGGGUAGGGGUGAAAUCCUAUAAUCCCGGGCGGACCACCAGUGGCGAAGGCUGUCGGCUAGAACGCGCUCGACGGUGAGGGACGAAAGCUGGGGGAGCGAACCGGAUUAGAUACCCGGGUAGUCCCAGCCGUAAACGAUGCGGGCUAGGUGUUGGGGUGGCUACGUGCCACUUCAGUGCCGCAGGGAAGCCAUUAAGCCCGCCGCCUGGGGAGUACGGCCGCAAGGCUGAAACUUAAAGGAAUUGGCGGGGGAGCACCACAAGGCGUGAAGCUUGCGGUUC